GCGGUUCUUGCGUUUGGUGAUGGUCGUAAGGGGAAAGUUAGGGGUGUUGCUGCAGCUGAACUCGACCUCGCGGGCGCCGGGGUUGUAGAAGGACAUGAAGGGGUUGGAGCGGCAUGAGAAGGCGGAGUAGUGGAAGCCGGGUGCGGGGGAGGAGUUGUUGUCGUGGUGGUGGAGGAGAUUGCUGAUGGCUUUUCCGGCGAUCUUGCCGCCCUUGAGGAGGGAGUGGA
rnacentral:misc_RNA from 1 species